rnacentral:rRNA from 1 species
UACGUAGGUGGCAAGCGUUGUCCGGAUUUACUGGGUGUAAAGGGCGUGUAGCCGGGCUGACAAGUCAGAUGUGAAAUCCGGGGGCUCAACCCCCGAACUGCAUUUGAAACUGUUGGUCUUGAGUAUCGGAGAGGCAGGCGGAAUUCCUAGUGUAGCGGUGAAAUGCGUAGAUAUUAGGAGGAACACCAGUGGCGAAGGCGGCUUGCUGGACGAAAACUGACGUUGAGGCUCGAAAGCGUGGGGAGCAAACAGG